rnacentral:rRNA from 1 species
CCUACGGGGGGCAGCAGUGGGGAAUAUUGGACAAUGGGGGAACCCUGAUCCAGCCAUGCCGCGUGUGUGAAGAAGGCCCUCGGGUUGUAAAGCACUUUCAGUGAGGAAGAACGCCUGGUGGUUAAUACCCAUCAGGAAAGACAUCACUCACAGAAGAAGCACCGGCUAACUCCGUGCCAGCAGCCGCGGUAAUACGGAGGGUGCGAGCGUUAAUCGGAAUUACUGGGCGUAAAGCGCGCGUAGGUGGCUUGAUAAGCCGGUUGUGAAAGCCCCGGGCUCAACCUGGGAACGGCAUCCGGAACUGUCAAGCUAGAGUGCAGGAGAGGACGGUAGAAUUCCCGGUGUAGCGGUGAAAUGCGUAGAGAUCGGGAGGAAUACCAGUGGCGAAGGCGGCCUUCUGGACUGACACUGACACUGAGGUGCGAAAGCGUGGGUAGCAAACAGGAUUAGAUACCCGUGUAGUC